rnacentral:rRNA from 1 species
GCAUUUGAAUGACUCCUGGCAAUGGAUAUCUUGGCUCUCGUGUCGAUGAAGAACGUAGCGAAAUGCGACACUUGGUGUGAAUUGCAGAAUCCCGUGAAUCAUCGAGUCUUUGAAUGCAAGUUGCGCUCGAGGCCAUUAGGUCGAGAGCACGUCUGCUUGGGCGUCAU